rnacentral:ncRNA from 17 species
AAUAGAGUUAGAGGUUGCAUUAUUAAUGACUAACUUAUCAGAAGUCGUAUGGGACAUGUGUUGAAUAAGUGAAAGGUAAUAAUGCCGAAAUGAUGUUAUUUCCAUAAAUUAGCAUUGUGAAGUUGGUUGAACAAUAAAAACAUCACAACCACGAAUGCUUUCUUCAAUAUUUAUUUGAAUU